AUUGAACGCUGGCGGCAUGCUUUACACAUGCAAGUCGAACGGCAGCGCGGGCUUCGGCCUGGCGGCGAGUGGCGAACGGGUGAGUAAUGCAUCGGAACGUGCCCAGUAGUGGGGGAUAGCCCAGCAAAAGCCGGAUUAAUACCGCAUACGACCUGAGGGUGAAAGCGGGGGACCGAAAGGCCUCGCGCUAUUGGAGCGGCCGAUGUCGGAUUAGCUAGUUGGUGGGGUAAAGGCUUACCAAGGCGACGAUCCGUAGCUGGUCUGAGAGGACGACCAGCCACACUGGGACUGAGACACGGCCCAGACUCCUACGGGAGGCAGCAGUGGGGAAUUUUGGACAAUGGGGGCAACCCUGAUCCAGCCAUGCCGCGUGCGGGAAGAAGGCCUUCGGGUUGUAAACCGCUUUUGUUCGGGAAGAAAUCCUCUGGGCUAAUACCCCGGGGGGAUGACGGUACCGGAAGAAUAAGCACCGGCUAACUACGUG
rnacentral:rRNA from 1 species